UACAGAGGGUGCAAGCGUUAAUCGGAAUUACUGGGCGUAAAGCGUGCGUAGACGGUUACGUAAGUCGGGUGUGAAAGCCCCGGGCUCAACCUGGGAAUUGCAUUCGAGACUGCAUAGCUAGGGUGCGGAAGAGGGAAGCGGAAUUUCCGGUGUAGCGGUGAAAUGCGUAGAUAUCGGAAGGAACACCAGUGGCGAAAGCGGCUUCCUGGUCCAGCACCGACGUUCAGGCACGAAAGCGUGGGGAGCAAACAGG
rnacentral:rRNA from 1 species